rnacentral:tRNA from 1 species
UUAAGAAAAGCCAAAUAGAGGCUUAUCACUGUUAAUGAUAGAACUGGGGCUAACCCCCUUCUUGAA